UCACUUCCGAUUCUGUCGUCUCUGUCAUCACUAACAUCUCCUCGUUUUGAUUCACGACAGCUUUUUCCAUUUUGCUGAUUUAAUUUUUUAGAUCAUUCUGAAACUUAUAACUAUAUGUUACGCUUAGGGUGCGUUUGGUUCAAGUUAUAUAAUAUUACGGAGUAUUUCGAUAUAUCCAGGUAUCUUGGAUUUCUAAAAGAAAUUACUACUUAUACUGCAUUAGCGCGUUUGAUUUAAUACAGUAAUGUAAUGCUGGAUUGUAGUGGUUAUAACAUUAAUAUAUUUGGUUCUAUCUAUAAAAUUCAGUAAUCUAGACAAUAAAGUAUAGUCUAUUCCAAAAUUGCCCUUAACCAUAUUUUGUAAACUUUUUUUUUACUGUUUACAAAUAAUUUUUUUUUACUAAAUUUUAUUUUAAAUAAUUUAAUUUUUUAAAUUUUAAAUUUUAAAUUUGAACAAAAAUAUAAAUUUAAUAUUUUAAUUUAAAAUAUAAAUAUGAAAUUUAUAAAUUUAAAAUCCAAAAUAUAAAUGUCACGCCCCGGAUAUCACGUUCCCUGGGCACGCCGACAAAUCCGCCGUACACAAAAUUUUUUUUUUUGUAUACGAAGCGAUAGUUGUACCUGUGAAAAUACAAUACUACAACCAGUAGUAUAGAGCUGUAAGGAACAAACAUAACUUGGUAGCAAAUAACAAUUCACUAUACAUACAACAUCUGGAUACAAAAGCUCGUAUCGCAAGAAACAGUAAUGACAGUAUGUAUAAGAACUCAAAAACUGCAACUAGCUGUAGCUGGUACUCCACUAGCUCUGGCUCGUCUGGUAGGGAUCUAACUCGCGACGCCCUUGCCACGAUCAGGAUAAGCAGCAGCCGACGACGAUGGCUCUGCAAAACGAGAAGGAACAACUGGGCGUGGGAAUUACUGUAAAAAUAAGUAGUCCUCAGUGGGUGCCGCCCUCAACAUUAUUGGUCCACCCACUAAGUCUACAGAAGGGAGCAAAGAUAGUAGGAAAUGCUGGAAGAAAUCUACAGCUACAAACCACUACACUAUCAUGCUCUACGCUAACCAACUGUAAUAAAUGUCAAUUCUGACCCA
rnacentral:lncRNA from 1 species